ensembl:piRNA 21ur-2073 ncRNA
UGAGUAGUUGAUGUAAAAAGU